rnacentral:rRNA from 1 species
UACGGUAGGGUGCAAGCGUUAAUCGGAAUUACUGGGCGUAAAGCGUGCGCAGGCGGUUUGUUAAGUCUGUGUGAAAGCCCCGGGCUCAACCUGGGAAUUGCGAUGGAGACUGCAAGGCUUGAAUCUGGCAGAGGGGGGGUAGAAUUCCACGUGUAGCAGUGAAAUGCGUAGAGAUGUGGAGGAACACCGAUGGCGAAGGCAGCCCCCUGGGUCAAGAUUGACGCUCAUGCACGAAAGCGUGGGGAGCAAACAGG